GAGCGGCGGACGGGUGCGUAAUACUUAGGCAUCUACCUAGUAGUGGGGGAUAGCACGGGGAAACUCGUAUUAAUACCGCAUACGACCUACGGGAGAAAGGGGGCAGUUUACUGCUCUCGCUAUUAGAUGAGCCUAAGUCGGAUUAGCUAGAUGGUGGGGUAAAGGCCUACCAUGGCGACGAUCUGUAGCUGGUCUGAGAGGAUGAUCAGCCACACCGGGACUGAGACACGGCCCGGACUCCUACGGGAGGCAGCAGUGGGGAAUAUUGGACAAUGGGGGAAACCCUGAUCCAGCCAUGCCGCGUGUGUGAAGAAGGCCUUUUGGUUGUAAAGCACUUUAAGCAGUGAAGAAGACUCUUCGGUUAAUACCCGGAGACGAUGACAUUAGCUGCAGAAUAAGCACCGGCUAACUCUGUGCCAGCAGCCGCGGUAAUACAGAGGGUGCAAGCGUUAAUCGGAAUUACUGGGCGUAAAGGGAGCGUAGGUGGCUCGAUAAGUCAGAUGUUAAAUCCCCGGGCUCAACCUGGGAACUGCAUCUUAUACUUGUUGAGCUAAAGUAUUGUUGAGAGGAAGGUAAGAAUUUCCAGGUUUUACCGGUUGAA
rnacentral:rRNA from 1 species